UACGGAGGGUGCAAGCGUUAAUCGGAAUUACUGGGCGUAAAGCGCGCGUAGGUGGUUGAGUAAGCGAGAUGUGAAAGCCCCGGGCUUAACCUGGGAACGGCAUUUCGAACUGCUUGGCUAGAGUGUGGUAGAGGGUAGUGGAAUUUCCUGUGUAGCGGUGAAAUGCGUAGAUAUAGGAAGGAACACCAGUGGCGAAGGCGGCUACCUGGACCAACACUGACACUGAGGUGCGAAAGCGUGGGGAGCAAACAGG
rnacentral:rRNA from 1 species